rnacentral:rRNA from 1 species
ACUAAAACAAAAUAGGUAAUACUGCCCUACCAAAAAAACCGACAUUUAAUGGCGGCAUUUAAUCUUAUUAGAGGAACAUGUUAUUUAAUCGACAAUACACGCUUAAUUUCACUCUAAUUAAAAAUUCUAUAUACCGCCAUAGUAAGAAUUUAUAUAAAUAUAUAUUCAAUAAAAAAAUCUUUUAAAGUAGGUAAAGGUGUAAACCAUAUUUAAGAUAUAAAUGUGUUACAUUAAAAAUAAUUUAAAGAAAAUAACAUAAAUUUUAUUCUAAAAAGGAUUUAAAAGUAAAUAGAAAAUAAUAUUUCCACUUGAAUAAGGAAAAAAAUGUGC